rnacentral:rRNA from 1 species
UGGGGGAUAUUGCACAAUGGGCGAAAGCCUGAUGCAGCGACGCCGCGUGGGGGAUGAAGGCUUUCGGGUUGUAAACCUCUUUCGCUAUCGAACAAGGCCCGCUUAGGGUGGGUUGAGGGCAGGUGGAGAAGAAGCGCCGGCUAACUACGUGCCAGCAGCCGCGGUAAUACGUAGGGCGCGAGCGUUGUCCGGAAUUAUUGGGCGUAAAGGGCUUGUAGGCGGCUUGUUGCGCUUGCUGUGAAAACGCGGGGCUUAACUUCGCGCGUGCAGUGGGUACGGGCAGGCUUGAGUGUGGUAGGGGUGACUGGAAUUCCAGGUGUAGCGGUGGAAUGCGCAGAUAUCUGGAGGCACACCGAUGGCGAAGGCAGGUCACUGGGCCAUUACUGACGCUGAGGAGCGAAAGCAUGGGUAGCGAACAGG